rnacentral:tRNA from 1 species
UGGUCGCAAGCAUAGGUGGCGAUGCACCCGGCUCUUAACCGGACUAACGCGGUUCGAUUCCGCGGCGGCCAACCA